AGAUCUAUAUCAAGAGUAAGAUCUUAAACUAAUUCUUUGGUUUCGAAGUGACCAACCCAUUUUCAAAGUUCGAUGACGCGCUGCAAUUUAAAAUUCUUUGUUGACAGUUUGCUAUCACUAUAUCAGCUGAGUCCACAUUCUGGCUUUGGCUGUACUAAAGACUUUAGGGAAGAAUCUGAUCUGGAAUAUGCCAAAUAUCAUUAGAUCUAGAUUCUAGAUGUACACAUCAAAGGAAGAAGCUUCGACGUUCGAAGCCGGGCAGGCCCUAACUGCUGACGGAUCGCAAUUGACAAGGUGUCCGAUGGUAACUUAGAAUAGGAUCAGGUGAUCGCAGGCCUAUGGCUUGUGGCGGCUCGUAUCACAGAACAGAUGGCUAAACUGUAAAAUGUACCUGCACUUGCUCCGAGCUGAGUUUCAAGUUGUUUAGAACCUGAAAAUCAACUCAGACAUCGGUCCACGAUUGUCAUUCAACUCAACUACGGGAACUUCUACUUCCCCUCCAUCAUCAGCCAGACGGUUAGAUCUAUCUCCAUUGAAGUCUAAGAAUUCCUCGUCCAAUGAUGAUCCUGGCACUGGCCCAUGCGUCUCUUCACCGGCCACCUUUCCAGUGGCUGCUACAGUUGGAGCCUCGCUGUCAGAAAAUGGGAGGACCAGAGACAGUUUCCUGAGACUCUGUGCGGGUUGAGCACCACAGAUGGAUCAUUUCUGCUUUUAAAAUGUUACGUAGCUCGACGUACCAGGGAAAAUCCUGAAAAACCAAGAACAGUUGAGAUUUUGGGGGGGGGGGUUUGGUACAUGUUUGUAUUUGUCGCGUGUCUCUUUUUCGGGUACAUGCCAUAUUACUGAUCUUAUUUGUGUCAGACAAAAUUAUUCACGAGAAUGUGAGUAAGUAAGGGAACAUUCUCUUGUAAGAAAAGUGUAAGAAUCAGGGGGUGGUCUUGAACCAAUGUAAUAGUAAUAUUACACUUUUUUUCGAUCCCGAGGUGUUAACUUUAUCAAAAUUCUACUGUAAUUUGGGGGUGUUUUGACAUUGACAUGCAUCUCAAUUUUUUUUCUUAUUAGUAA